rfam:Heligmosomoides polygyrus genome assembly, scaffold: HPBE_scaffold0014431
GCGCCGGUAGUGUAACGGCGUAAAGCAUUCCCGCCCGGUCAGAGGGAGGUGCGGGUUCGAGUCUCGCCUGGCGCU